rnacentral:rRNA from 1 species
AUUGAACGCUGGCGGCUGGCCUAACACAUGCAAGUCGAACGAGUGGCGGACGGGUGAGUAAUGUCUGGGAAACUGCCCGAUGGAGUGGGAUAACUACUUGAAACGGUAGCUAAUACCGCAUACCAUCGGAUGUGCCCAGCUGUGAUUAGCUUGUAGGUGAGGUAACGGCUCACCUCGGCGACGAUCCCUAGCUGGUCUGAGAGGAUGACGAGACAAACUGGAACUGAGUCACGGUCCAUACGCCUACGAGAGGCAGCAGUGGGGUAGAUGGCACAAGGGGCGCAAGCCUGAUGCAGCCAUGGCGGGUGUAUGACGAAGUCCUUCGGGUUGGUAAGUACUUUCAGCGGGGAGGCGGUACCCGCAGAAGAAGCACAGGCUAACGCCGUGCCAGCAGCCGCGGUAAUUC